GGGUCAGUAGGUUGGUCGUGCCACCGGUACGUACUGGUCUCACUGAUUCCUCCUUCCUGAAGAACCGUAAUGCCAUUAAUUUGGUGUUGCGGGGAAACAGGACUGUUACUUUGAAAAAAUUAGAGUGUUUAAAGCAAGCUAACGCUUGAAUACAUUAGCAUGGAAUAAUGAAAUAGGACGAUCGAUCCUAUUUUGUUGUUUUCUAGGAUUGACGUA
rnacentral:rRNA from 1 species